AUUGAACGUUGGCGGCAGGCCUUAGACAUGCAAGUCGAACGGUAACAGCAGAGCUUGCUCUGGCUGACGAGUGGCGGACGGGUGAGUAACGCGUAGGAAUCUACCCAGUAGCGGGGGAUAGCCCGGGGAAACCCGGAAUAAUACCGCAUACGCCCCACGGGGGAAAGAGGGCCUCUUCUUGAAAGCUCUCACUAUUGGAGGAGCCUGCGUUGGAUUAGCUAGUUGGUGGGGUAAAGGCCUACCAAGGCGACGAUCCAUAGCUGGUCUGAGAGGACGAUCAGCCACACUGGAACUGAGACACGGUCCAGACUCCUACGGGAGGCAGCAGUCAGGAAUAUUGUGCAAUGGGGGAAACCCUGACACAGCCAUGCCGCGUGUGUGAAGAAGGCCUUAGGGUUGUAAAGCACUUUCAGUAGGGAGGAACUAGCAGCGUUAAUACCGCUGUGAGAUGACGUUACCUACAGAAGAAGAUCCGGCUAACUCCGUGCCAGCAGCCGCGGUAAUACGGAGGGAUCGAACGUUAAUCGGAAUUACUGGGCGUAAAGCGCGCGUAGGUGGUUUGUUAAGUGGGAUGUGAAAGCCCCGGGCUCAACCUGGGAACUGCAUUCCAAACUGACAAACUAGAGUACGAUAGAGGGGGGUAGAAUUCAGAGUGUAGCGGUGAAAUGCGUAGAUAUUCUGAGGAAUACCGGUGGCGAAGGCGGCCCCCUGGAUUGAUACUGA
rnacentral:rRNA from 3 species